GGUGAAUGUGAGCAGUCAGCAUGGGUUUACCAAGGGUAAAUCAUGCCUGACCAAUGUGAUUACCAUCAGUGGACUCCAUUUGUGGUUUCUGAGGUAAAGGAAUACUAACAAAGACCAGAAAGGGCUGCUCAUACUGAGCUAAGUAGAACUCCAAAUAGUCAAGACGAGAAAAAAUGAACAAAUGAACAAAUGAACAAAUGUCUUAUGGAUCCCAAAGGUCUUGCCUUGCUUAUAUCAUCAGUGCACUGCCAUUACAUCACCCACAGUAUGGGAACACUUCAUGAUUCACUGACUACUAAGUAUGAAAGGUGGACCAUUUUUUUUCCAGCAGCUGGCUGCUUUUCAAGGGUGCGACUGCUUUUUGCCCCCUGCAGAUGAUAAGCAGGCAGGCAUGCUGGCAGGACUCACAGGAGCCAGCUGUGACCUUGCCUUUGUGGCUGUUGGCUCUGCCUGCAGGAGACUUGCAGCUCUGCUGGAUGCCUGCUGAAUCCCUGUGGUCUCGCCAGAAUGUUUAUCCAUGAUGCUGCGGCUCCUGCUUCAUGACCAUGCUCCACGUCACCCACAAUCAGACUGUGUGCUGUCCCUGCUUCCUGAGCUGUUGAUCCAAGGAUCUGUAAAAUGACAGAAUUAGCCUUUUGUGGGGGGAGCAGGUAAUGGAUGAGACAAAUGAAUUCCAUCCUUCAUCCUCCCAGGAAGAGUAGAAGAAUCUCCACUAAUGUACUAGAUAAUGUACAGAUAAUUUUGUAGGUUGGAGUCUAAUGUCAGCACUGCCAUUUUGAUGGACCAUUAUGUUCCUCAUACCCUUUUGUGGAGCCUUUCAGAUCUGCUUUUCGUAGUUACAAAUACAGAACUCUGUAACCUGGAGGAGUGGCAGCAAGGGAUCUGCUCCAGCUCUGAGCACAGGGUUAUGCCCUUUAUACAGAGAAAAGCAAGAAGCAUAAAACAUACAACUCUGAUUGAUUUCUCCACUCAGGCUUUGUCACUGUUCACAGAAGCAGCCAUACUGAACAGAAAUGUACACAAUCUGAACCUACCUGUCAGACAUAUGUGUUCUUAGUAUAAAAGCAGAAAUUAAUAUUUUGUCCUCUUGUCCUAUCAAAUGUAUCUUAUCAUCUGCCCAUCAUUUGCUGAAAUGUCCUGCUGAAUGUGUAAGCAGGCCCAUCAUCCUGUACCAGCAGGGAUGCUGGGCUUUCUUGCCAUUAUUAUUAUUAUGGAUGCACUGUGUUUGCACUGUGAGUAAAGAGCUCACACAAAAUCAAAUGACUGCUUUCAGACACAGAUAACAGAAACAAGCAAACAAACAAACAAACAAAAACAACCAACACUGAUUAUGCUGUAUGUAUUUAUCUGCAGCUUCCCUGAAGCCAGGAUGGCUUCACUCAGCUGUCACUUCCUUAGGCUGAUUUGCGGGACUGUGCAGGCUAUAGCAUUUCUAAUGGCAUAGUUUGCAAGUGAAUGCAUCUGUGGUACGUUCUUCAAGACACGUUCUUCAUUUUGAGAUCUGGGUGGGUUUUUUUUUUUUUUUAUUUAAUCAUCCUUUAACUCCCACACGUUCUCAUUGUAUAUAUGCUUGCAAAUUUCCCAGCAGAAGAAUAAAACUCCACUGGAGCAUAUUGUACUUUCAAAUGCUGUGAAGAAAACAGAACCCUUUCCGCAUUGUGCUGCUGCUAUCAUUAGUAACACCGAGACAACAGAGACCUGUGAGAAGCGAGGCUUCUAACACCCCCUGAAGAAUGCCCUCACUGCUUAUUCAGGCCUUUCCAUUCUUUCUAGCAACGGCUCAAAAUUCAAGCACAAAUCAUCCCAAAGCACGCCGGAGCCCAGGGGUGCAGGAUGAGCGGCCAGGUAAGCCACACUGCCCUGCUUUCUAUGAGCAGUGUGUGGUGGCUGAGCACAAUCUGAGUGCCCAUGCCCCGGGCUGCCACCUGCACAGCCUGUCCCUGCCCAGGCUUCAGGUCAACAGUCCCAGGCUGGGGCUCCACUGUCACCUCUCAGCCCCAGGCCCAGGUGCUGGCUGGCCGGGGUUUCUCUCACUUGUGGAGAUGCAAAAACGGGGUGUUUGUGGAACAACAUCCAAGCACAGGAAGACGAGGUGCCAACAAGCCUCUGGGGUCUGGGGACGACCGGCCAGUGUCGCCUCAGCCACCACAGUGGUGACACAGUUACUCGGCAUCAAGCACCGUCGCUCACUGCCCCUCGGUUAAGCCUCUUCCCCACAUGAGAAGCUCUGACAAUCGCGCAGCGAAACGACGCGGGCGGGUAGCGCGGCGUCGUCCCAUACAGCGUCGCCGCGCGGAGGCACUGCUCCGGCCCCCGCUGAGG
ensembl:lncRNA